GCAUGCCUUACACAUGCAAGUCGAACGGUAACAGGUCUUCGGAUGCUGACGAGUGGCGAACGGGUGAGUAAUACAUCGGAACGUGCCCGAUCGUGGGGGAUAACGAGGCGAAAGCUUUGCUAAUACCGCAUACGAUCUACGGAUGAAAGCGGGGGAUCUUCGGACCUCGCGCGGACGGAGCGGCCGAUGGCAGAUUAGGUAGUUGGUGGGAUAAAAGCUUACCAAGCCGACGAUCUGUAGCUGGUCUGAGAGGAUGAUCAGCCACACUGGGACUGAGACACGGCCCAGACUCCUACGGGAGGCAGCAGUGGGGAAUUUUGGACAAUGGGCGAAAGCCUGAUCCAGCCAUGCCGCGUGCAGGAUGAAGGCCUUCGGGUUGUAAACUGCUUUUGUACGGAACGAAAAGCCUCUUUCUAAUAAAGAGGGGUCAUGACGGUACCGUAAGAAUAAGCACCGGCUAACUACGUGCCAGCAGCCGCGGUAAUACGUAGGGUGCAAGCGUUAA
rnacentral:rRNA from 1 species